rnacentral:misc_RNA from 1 species
GUGGGACCUGGCACUGCACAUCAAUUCCACUCUUCUUGUACUCCACAUACAAGCACCUCGAGAAUUGGUCAAUGUACGCUUUGGUGGCAGCAUAGACAGUAUACAGGGGAUCUGAGGGAAUAACAAUGGCAGCACCAGAACCAAUAUUAACAAUAGCGCCUCUCUUCCUCUUCAACAUUCCAGGCAAAACAGCAUGAGUCACCUUGGUAGUGCCUUCAACAUUGACCUUGAUUAAGUUAUUCAGAAGCUCCUCAUCCACUUCGUGAAAAAACCUUCCAUAC